UUGCCAAACUGUUUUAUCUUUGUAGCUGAAACACUAAGUACUGGGUGUACAUGCAAAUUGCCGCCUUUCAGAUCCCUGUUUUCUUCAUGCGUUGGUCUGUUGAUCACAUCGGCGUUACAUAAAAAGGUGUUUUGGUUUCGAUGGUGCCUAUGCUUGGGUUCAUCUGGCAAUCGUUUAUGAUAAAGUCUCUCUGAUAUAUUUUAGACCACAUUACAUGUUGCUUUUAAUUAUUUUUAGAGAAUGAAAGUUAACUGUACAAACACUGAUCGCUCUCCAGAUUGGAGUCAGGGGAAUCUUUAGUCUAUUUCAGGAAAACGUUUUUAAGCACCAAUUUGACAGUCUGAGAAUGCUCACUGUAAAGACUUUUCUAAUGCACCAAAACCCAUCAAAAGCAGAGGUACCACGAGGGUAUUCUGUAAAGCUAACUUUGUUUAUGCAGAUUCUUCCCAGAGUUCUUGGUUUUCUUAAAAUGUAAGAAGGGAGCUAGAGAGAUGGCUUAGCAGUUAAGAGCACUGACUGCUCCUCUGAAGGUCCUGAGUUCAAAUCCCAGCAACAACAUGGUAACUUACAACCAUCCUUAAUGAAAUCUGACACCCUCUUCUGGUGUGUCUGAAGACAGCUACAGUGUACUUAGAUAUAAAUAACAAAUAAAUCUUUUCAAAAAAAAUUUUUUAAAUGUAAGAAGAACAUUUGACUCUGAGUGGCGUGAGACAUUGGAGGGCAGUGGAUAUUGACAGAAAUGCAAUUCUGAAUGCCCAUGAUUGGUGGCUGCUAGGACCCCAAGUUUAUUUUAAGCAAAAUACAUUACACUUUUUCUCUCCUAAGACUCUCAUUCUUGCUUUCUCCAGAGCCAGCCUGUGGAUAUUAUUGAAAUAUCUAGCUAUACUAACAAUUUAAGGCUAACAGACCUGUUCCAUACAGCAAAUAGUCAAAGUCAAAUCUCAGAUACUUAAAGAACGGGCCCUAGCUUUUAUUUUUGCCCCCAUAAUCAUCAUUAAUUUCAUGUGAGUGAAUAGUCUGUUACUGAAGUAAUGAAAAAGCACAUACUUGAGCUAAAACAAUUUUAUUUUAUUUUACUUUUGAUAUUUUGAGACAAGGUUUCUCUGUGUAGCAGAGUCCUGGCUAUCCUGAGCUAGCUAUAUAGACCAGGCUGCCCUGCAAACUCAAAGAGAUCCUGCUGCCCCUGCCUCCUGAGUGCUGGGAUUAAAGGCACGGGACACCACACCUGGAGAACUAAAACAAUUUUAAAGAUAGAUGUAAAGUGUUUCAUGUUAAUUUGGAACCAAAUAUAUGUAUAUCUCCGUGAAAUCAAUCGGUAUACAAGUGCUAGAUCUUGAGUGUAGUCUGACCCUUGAUGUGGCACUAACCCAUUUUAAUCCUAGAUGACCUAGCGCUGCUUUUCUUGCCUUGGCGUCUUCUUAUUCACUACAACAACAGCUGCUAAUGCUGACUGAUUACAGUGUGUCCUGCCGCACUUAAAAUCCCCACUUAAAAUGAAGACACCAGGUCACAGAGAGAAUAGCUUGAUAACCCAGACCUGAAUUUAAGUCUGUCUGACUCAAGAGCAUGAACCCUCCAAAAACACGGGGUCCCCUGGUUCUCCAAAGCCUCUGUUCUCAUCCUUGGAGAAUGACUUGAGAUCUGAUGACCUUGUGAGAAUUACCUGGUUUUAUAAUUCUGGGAAUCCUGUAUUCAGAACAGAAAAUAUCUGACCUAAAUUGCAUCGCCACUGAACAAUGAGAAGAAGAGAAAAGUUUCCAACCAUCCAGCCUCAUGAUGAUUUCAGAGAUUUCUAGGAGCCUGUGGAGAAGAACCAGGGCACAGUCACAAUCUGAGCAAAGCAAAAUCAAGCUCCAAAAAUGUAACUAGCAAUUAUCUAGAGCUCAUUCGCAAUCUUCUGGGCUCCUCCAAAAGGCUUGCGUCACUUUUCUGGCUCUACCUUCUACAGCAGCACACUCGGAUUGUCUUCUAGACUGGGGAUCUCUCCACUCCUCUGCUACUGCUAUUCUUGGUAGUCAACCCAUGAUCUUGACAUCUCAAAAAUGGUGUGGUCUUCUAUAACUGUGCUACACUUUCACCAGUAGCUUCUCCUGGUGAAGAAGACCACAUGGUGCCUCUCAACUGCUCUCCAUGACCCCCUUUCCCACCUUCAAAACUUAGCACCACCUGGGUAACUCAUAUACUACCAAGUCCAGCUGCCAGCAUGAGGUACAUCCCUUGACCAUCUCUAGAACACAGCUUGUUUCUUGACUCCCAGAAAACAAUUCCCAGAUCACCUCAAUGAUGCUGGCCUCUUCUUAGUUAAUCACAGCCAAUUCUUCAGUUGACCAGAUUCUUCACACAAAAGCCUCAGUCUUUGCUUCCUUCUGAAAUUUCACAAGCCAGGAUUCCAUUGUCUACAAUGCUCUCAACAUUCUUAUCUUCCUUCCAAGCUUCUACAAAACAAACAGCUCACUGAACUCUCAACACUCAAUGGCUUUUCUAGCCCAAAGUUCCAAGGUCCUUCCACAAUCCUCUCCCAAAACAUGGUCAGGUCUGUCAUAGCAAUACCCCACUAUGCUGAUACCAACUUAUCUUAAUUAGAGUUAUGAUUACUAUGAUGAAACAUCUGACAAAAAGCAAGCUGGGAAGGAGAGGGUUUAUUUGGUUCAUAGUUCCACAUUGUAGUCAAUCACUGAAGGAAGCCAGGGCAGGAACUCAAAAGGGCAGAGACCUGGAGGCAGGAACUGAUACAGAGGCCAUGGAAGGAUGCUGCUUAACGGCUUACUUGUCAUAGCUUGCUCAGCCUACUUUCUUAUAGAACCCAGACUACCAGCCUAGGGACGGUACCACCCACAAUGGGCUGGGCCCUUGCCCACCAAUCACUAAUUAAGAGAAUGCCUUAUGGAUGGAUCUUAUGGACACAUUUUCCCAGUUGAGGUUCCCUCCUUUCAGAUUACUCUAGCUUAUGUCAAGUUGACAUAACCUGGCCAGCCCACUAAGCAACAUCUUUGCAUGCUCCUCCAUUAUCAACAGCUAAGUGGUACCUUUGUUACAACUGAUGGACUCACAUUGACACUGUGAAAACUCUUGCUGCUGUACAUCCCGUAUAUCUGGACAAACCGACCAUGGCCUGCGUCUACCAUUACCAUGCAUGAUAGUUUCUCUACCCUGCAGUUCUCUGGUUUUCAGAGCUGUUUUAGAUUUUCAGAAAGAAAAAUGGUCCAUAAAUUACAGUGCUCACAUACACUCCCCCUACCGCUGCUGAAUUUACAGCUUCUCUUCUUGUGAAACUCCUGUGUUGGCACGAUAUAUUUGUCACAAUUAGGGCCAGUGUUCAUGUUCAGUAUUAAGUAAAGUUUGUGGUAUAUAUUAAAAGUCAUCCUUCCUGUUAGCAGAGUUCUAGGGCUCUAUAAAUAUGCAACAAUGUGUCUACCAUUUCUUCCUGGUUGCUCCCAUGAUUUGGAAAGUGUACAGAUGCUGUAAAAAUAUAAACAUUCCUAAACAAGUACAACAUCUCUUCCCCUGGAUGAAAACUCUGGAUAAUGUCCCUCUUUGUUCUCAAUGUGUGUAGUGAAGAAUCAGUAGGAACUGGCUUUGAACCCUGAUAAUAUAUUAUUGAGCAAAAUUGCCAUGUCUGCUUUGUCCUUUUAGAUUUUCUUUAAUAAAAGCCCAUCUGACAGGCUUUGGUACUAAGCCAUAGUUUUGCUUCUUCAUAGUAGCCAGGCUGUACAUUUCCUGUAUUCUGACAGCUUUGCAGACAUUCCCACUUAAGAUUAGAAAUACAAAAACAUGUACUACCGACAUGGGGGAGAGUCAGAAAAGAGAUCUCUUUCAUCUUAACAUAGUCAUUUCGUGCUGCCUUCUGUGUGAGUGGUUUAGCUAAAUCCAUGUUCUGAAACACGGGCUUUAUUUCCUAAUCAGUCCCUGGAGGGAAAUUGUUAGGUCUAGGGUGCUAAAUAUGAUGCCCUUCAGGCAGGGUUCCCCAUAAAAGAGAGCUUUCUUUCCGGCUUCCUCACAUGACACUGGAGAGAUGGCAGCGGGGGAGGGCCCGUGCUACCCCUCACCCUCGACAGCAGGGAUGGUGUGACGUGCCCUUCUCUGUGGCACCUGCCUUAUUGUGAUUGUUAGAUAUGCACAGUUCCUGCCUCCAUCACAUCUCAAACACACUGGCUUCUUCCUCCAAAUGGUUGAGUAAAAUUCAUGGGGAGAUUUUCUUUAGAAUCUUUUUUUCUUUUUUCCUCUAACGCAGCUCUGAGGCUGGUACCCCUUUCAUUGUACCGGGUCUCUAUGCCCAUAGUAUAUAAGAGUAUUCUAAGGUUUAGGAAUCCUGGACUUUCAUUUCCACUUUGUGAAGUCCAUUUCUAAAAUGGAGAAAACAAAUGAAAGAGAUGACAUAUGUAGCUCUACAAUUGUAUAUUUGGUUCCGUUGUCCCUAAAUCAGUUGGAAGUUGCUUUUUCAAACAUAGGACUGAGUUUUAUAGAGCUCUAAUUAUAUUACUUUGGCCAUUGUGUGAUUUGGGGUUUGUUGUGUGUAACUCCCAUUUUGAAGAUUUCAAUGUUCGCUGCGCUAAGACGUAGUUCUGGCCAAUGUGAAGAUCUAUUUAAUUUUGCCUCUCUGGUCUUAUCCGUACCCCCACCCCUGUAUUUUGCCUGGAGUUUAAUCAUCACUAAGAUACAGAUCCCCAUCAUUUCCCUAAUUCGAUUAAAUAUGCCAUUAGAAAAUGUAGGGCAUUAUAUUCAAUGUAAUACCCUCUGCAAACGUACUAUCUAGAAUCUCAUUGUUGGCAAUCAGCAUUAUUCACAGGUGUUUGUUUGUGAUCUUGGAAAUUGCUCUUUAAAGGGAGAUUAAAGGAGGCUAGGCUAGGGUAUAGGCUCAGUUGGUAAAGCACUUGUUUUGUAAGCAUGAGAACUUUAGUUCAGGCAGAUUUCCCCAGUAGCCACAGAAAAUGCCAGCCAAAGCAGCACAAGCUCCAUGGAGGCAGAGACUGAUCCCCCAGAGCUCAGCUUGCCAGCCUACCAGUCUAGCAGAAUCAAUGGGUUAUAGUUAGAGACCCUGUCUCCAAAAAAAAAAAGGUAGAGAGCAAUUGAGGAAGACACAUAACGUUAACUCCUAGCCUCAACAUGCACACAUGCUGUACACACACACACACACACACACACACACACACACACACACACCAGAGAGAGAAAGGGAGAGAUAGAGAGACACAGACACACAAAAAUACAUAGAGAGAAACAAAGACACAGACAGACACACAGACAAAACACAGAGAGAGCGACAGCGAGACAGAGGCAGAGGCAGACACACAGAGAGACACAGGCACACAAAAAAGCACACACAGAGACAGAAAGACACAGAGAGACAUACAGACAGACAAAAACAUACAAACACAGAGAGGAGUUAGAGAAGUAGAAGAGAGACAGAGAGGCAGAGGAGAACAAGAAGGUAUCAGUGCCUGAUUUUUAAUGAGGCUAAGAGAGAAUAAGAAAGUCAGAAAUAGGCAGGCUCUCAGAGAGUGUUAAAAUUUUGGAGUCUUUGUACUUUCAACAUGGGCCUCAUUAGGUCUGUUCUCCUUAAUUUGUAUAAUUUUUAAACUUUCAAGCUGGAAGGACCUCUAACGUGUGACUUUUCAAAUAUGUAGAUUUCUGGAUAAUAGUCUGUGCUUUGGUCUGCGCUCUACCACUGUCUUUGUUCUUUGCUGUGCUUUCAAAGAAGCAACACCAGGAGGAAGCUGAAAGGGCUUUUUUUUUUUUAAGUUAGAAUGUGUCCUUCCUUAAAAGGAACUAAAACUGAAGCUAUGAUUCAAAAGUUCAAAGCCACCCUGAGCUAUGGAGCAAGUUCGUUGCUCUUUGCAUAGAUCCUUCUGAGAGAGAAUGUCAUCUGCAGUGUUUGCAGGGAGAGCUGCAGUUAGGAAGCAAGCAGGGACAAGCAUAGCAAAGGCUAAGAUCUGCUGUCAGCAUUUCAGCUGAGGUUUGCUUUAUGCACCAUCACCUUCGGGAGGGUGGGGGGUGGCGGGGGGAAUCGUGGAAUCAGGUCCCCACCUUCUUCUGAGGCCCCCUGGGCUUUUUAUUGGGAAGACUGAGCCUACCACAUAACUGACAACCACCAAUGAGCCACUUUCCAGUCACUGAAAGAUGGCAGAGGUUUAUUUAUUUAUUUAUUUAUUUAGCCUUAAUCGCCACUCGUCUUAAAGUCUCUUUCUAAAUAUGUUUAUUUUCAUGAACAUCAUUGGCCACAUAGGGCCAGCACCAGCACUUGGGAGGAGCAAACAUUCAAAGCUACCCUGAGCUAUGUAGCAAGUUCAAGGCUCUGUCUCAAAUAAAUUUAAGUUCUCUUUGACCCAAAUGUAUUGUUAUGUUUAAUGUUCAUUGUUUAACCAUUUCACUACUGUCAGAAUAUCAGCAUAGCAGCCUGGUGUGCUGGGGGAAGGGCACAUUCUAAGAUCUUCCGAAUAUACUGGCACUGGCUGAAAUCCACCAGUGUUUACUACACGUUAAACACGGACUUAUCUGGUGUAAUCCUCAUAACUGUACAAAGAGGAUGUUGCAAUAGCCAUUUUAGAAUUGAAGUAGCUGAGUAGAGAGGGUAGCUAGCCACAAAGCUAGGGAGACACGGCCGUAGGAGUCCAAGUGUAUCCUCCUAUGCCAUUUUUAGGAGGUGUUUUGGGAUUGGUUUGGUUGUUGUUGAAACAUGAUCUUACUGUGAAGUUCAAGCUAGGCUCCAACUCUCAGAUCUCCUACGUCAGCCUCCUGUUAGCAGAGACUACAGGCAUGUGCCACUGCAGCCGGCUGUCUUCCUGGGCUCUUGUGCUCUGUACUGGGAAGCCUUGCAUAAAAAGGAUCACUUCAGUGGAUCAGAAAAUUCAGAUGGACACAUACACACACACACACACACACACACACAUACCAUACAUACACACUCACACGAAUAUACUCAUGUAUACACAUUCAAACACACAUACACACGCAUACACACACACACAUAUAUACACACUGCUGAAGUUGUUUUUACAAGUAAUAGAUUUAAAGACUCAAUACAGGGCUAUGGUGACAGCCAGUUUAACCCAUCACUGCGAGGUCUUAUCUAAAAAAAGAAAAAAUAAUAAUUAAAUGUCAAGCAAUAGAGUAAGAUAACUGCUGUGUGUACAUGUAUAUACAUAUAUACCACAUGCACAAAAAAUAAAAACUCAAAAAACCCAAAGAAAGGUAGACGGCAUCUGAGGAAGGAUAGCCAAGUUGCCCUCUGACCAUGAAUACCCCCCCCCACACACACACACACACACACACACACACACACACACACACGCAUGUAUGAAGACUCAAUAAAUUGGCUUAAGCUUAAAAAAUCGUAAAUGUUUAAGCCUUAUUUUUUUAAUUGCACAGAAUUGCAAAAUAAUUCUUCAUUACCUGCUUCCAAAACAGAGAGCAGAAGGAAGAGAUGAAAAGAACUAAUUUUACCACCUAGAGGUGGUAAGCAUCUUCCUGCUGACACCUUGUUCACGCGUGCUCCCUCAGAGUCGUUCCUUAGGCCCUCCUGGGCAUUGCUCCUUCUCUAAAACCUGGGAAUGUUCUGUACCUGUUGUGUUACGGUCUAUUUUAAACCACGGUUAUAUUUGGGAAACUUUUUUUUUUAAGUAUUUCAGUAACUCUUCAUCCUCAGUACUAUUUCUGGUGGUUGAUUAUAAUAUUCCAAUCCAGAGUUAAAACAAUCUUGCAGCCAGUUCCCUGGGCUAUUGUGUCCAGUUCCAAUUUAAAAAAAAAAAACAAAACAAAACAAAAAAAAACCUUAUAAGCAGGUUCUUUGGCAAGCCCUGAUUAUGUCCCUAGAAUAAGCCACUAAAUGGCAAAGGGCAUACCCAUUUCAAAAUUUUUCAGAACUAGUGCCAAACUGCCUUCUAAAAACUCACAAGCCGUGAGGGACCGUGACCACUGGUGGCUUUCAGCCUCCGGUGCUUGCUGUCUUUGACGUGCCCCUCCCUGUCACUGGGGACCUCAGGAGAAGCCAAGCAUCUUCAGUAUGCCGUCUAGUCUUUACCUACAUCUAUCUAUUCUGCCUGUAACUCUGGUAUCUCUUUAGGACUCUUUAUUUCAUGUGAAGAAUGUUUUCAGCUCUUACAGCCCUCUGGAAACCAUGAAAGGAUUAAAUAAUCCUUGCUAAUUGCUCUCAAGACCAAGAGCUGUAGCAAAAUGCUAAUGGCAGACUUUUUUUUUUUUUUUUUUUUUUUUUUUUUUUGGAAAUCACUUGUCAAACUCGAGUUGAUAAACUAGCUCCUCGGAAUGAACGCAGGGUGCCGCGCAGCUGGGUUUACGUGCACAGCGUCAGAGAACAGCGCUGACAGUGACUCUCAAUCAAACUGAUCAACUGCAGUCGCACUUACAAAGUGUGGGCCCCAAACCUGCAGCGUCAGCAGCAUCUGGAAAUUUGUUAGAAUUGCAAAUGUGUGUGCGGGCCCCAGCCCACUUUGCCGAGCCUCUGGGAGUGGGUCCCCGUAAUCAGUCAUUUGCUGGAUUCAUGAUACCAUCACAGACUUGAGAUACACUCCGUAGGUGGAAAGCCACUGCCUUGGUCCCCAGGGCAUUCCACUGAGGAUCCUGUGUAAGUCAGCUGUUCUGGAUAGAUGCCUUAUGUCACUGUGCCUGGAAAUUGGCCAGGCCUAGGACAGAGUUAAGGGCAUCACUUUGGGCCAUGCUAAAUUUGGGCAGGACUUUAUUUCUGAGUUCUUCAGCAGUUCACACUCCAAGCGAGGAGAUGUGUUUGGAAUGGCCACUGCUCACUCUAUUCAAGUCACAUAGUCUUGGUUAGUGCUCUCUGUUCCCUCGGCCUUUGGGGCAGAGUUCUUGAGGCCACAAAAGUGGCCACAUUUCUCAGCCAAACGAGGCACUCAUUAGUGACACUUGAAGGCCUAAACUAUUUUUUAAAGAAAUAGGGGGGGGGGGGUCCCAGCUGCCACCAGGAAUCAUUCUAACCUCCUAAGAGUUCCUUCCUACCUUUCCUGGUACCAAUGACGGGAACCAGGGUGAAGUUGCAGAAAUGCAAACCUAGCCCUCCUCCUUGAGGCUAUAAAAUCACCUAUCACCAAAGAACUACCCCAGGAGCCUCUUGAUAACCUCACAUCACAUCUCCUCUGGCUUGGGGUACCACGGCUCUCGUAAAGGUUCUCUACACCCCCAGCCCUCUGCUGUGAUCAGCCUUUGGCUUCAGCAGCCAGGAGAGUACCCUAUGAAAUGACUAUAUCAUCUACUUCUGACCUUAAAAAAA